rnacentral:lncRNA from 10 species
ACAGGGGUCUGAGGUUGAUCCCGGAGGCGCGAGGAGUCGGUACGGGUCACGGUUGUCCCGGCCCCUGAGGCGCAGGGUAGGAGUGGGGUCCCAUAGAUGUCAGACUCGGUCUGCAAGUAUCGUCGGCCUUCAUUUGUAGGUGAACAAGCCGAGAUUCUUGUGGCGUGAUAGGACUUGUGGUCGCCACGAAGGGGCCAGCUCCAUCGGGAAUCUGUAAUCGCCCAGCAGUUUCCCCGCCCCGCGCAUGUGAAAUAUGUAGCCCUCCGUAUUCAUUCUAGAAACUUCUGGGAACCCAGCGCCUUGGGGAGAUAGAACCGAGCCAGAUGUUCCCCCGCUGCGAGGAACUCAGAACCUGCAUAAAUAGAGAAGGUGGCAGGCAUAUAGUAGGGAGACCAGUAAUUCCAUUGAGCGCUGAUUUUGGGCCAGGCACGAUACAAGCAUUAUCUCUGCAAAACAUCUUAUUCAUUCGUUCAGCAAACGUUUCUUGAACUCUCAGAAGGAUGAAGGAAGUUUACCCAGCUAGUAAGUGGAAGAACUGGUAUUGGAACCCGAUCUGUCUGACUGCAGAGUUCCACAAUCUUGCUGCCAAGUUAUGUGGGGAUAACAAUGACUAUUUUAUGUCAUCUAUUCAUUCUUCCAGCCUAUCAGCCUCCUGUGUCUUAAGCAGAGUGGAGACGGGGGUGGAUCCAGGCGCACCAAAUGAACCCAUGAAAUCUGCUUCUCAUCUCUGCAACUUCGGGCUGUGCUGUUUCAGAAGUCUUA